rnacentral:rRNA from 1 species
UGGGGAAUAUUGCACAAUGGAGGGAACUCUGAUGCAGCGACGCCGCGUGAACGAAGAAGGCUUUCGAGUCGUAAAGUUCUUUUAUAUGGGAAGAUAAUGACGGUACCAUAAGAAAAAGCCCCGGCUAACUACGUGCCAGCAGCCGCGGUAAUACGUAGGGGGCUAGCGUUGUCCGGAAUCACUGGGCGUAAAGGGUUCGCAGGCGGAAAUGCAAGUCAGGUGUAAAAGGCAGUAGCUUAACUACUGUAAGCAUUUGAAACUGCAUAUCUUGAGAAGAGUAGAGGUAAGUGGAAUUUUUAGUGUAGCGGUGAAAUGCGUAGAUAUUAAAAAGAAUACCGGUGGCGAAGGCGACUUACUGGGCUCUUUCUGACGCUGAGGAACGAAAGCGUGGGUAGCAAACGGG